UUUUCAGUGUGAGAGGAAGUCACAAAUGAGGUACUUAGGUCCUUGCUUUCAUCUUUGCUGGUGAGAGGCUGCUCAAAUCAAACCUGCAUCCUCUUGAGCUGCUCCUAGAACAGAUCCAGUAAAAAGAAAGCAAAACUGUGUAGUGAGGCUGGCAGCCCUGGAUCAGAUAACUCAUCUAAGAAGGAAAAAACAACUGCUUCAACUUUGUGCCACAUCUUGACAAGCCUUAAUCUAAUAUGGGAAAAAAAGAGAAGUGAAAUAACCAGACUAUCAUAGAAUGGCUUGAGUUCGAAGAGACCCUUGAAGGCCAUCUGUUCCCAUUCCCUGCACCGAGAAGAGACAACCAAAGCUCCAUCAGUGCUCGGAGCCCUGUCCAGCCUGACCUUGGCUGUCUGCAGGGAUGGGACACCACCACCUCUCUGGGCAGCUGUGAUAUCCUUAGCACAGUGUCCAUAUGGCUGAUA
ensembl:lncRNA